rnacentral:rRNA from 1 species
GCCUCAAGUGAUGUGUGACU